ACUUGGGGAGUACGGCCGCAAGGCUGAAACUCAAAGGAAUUGACGGGGGCCGCACAAGCGGAGGAACAUGUGGUUUAAUUCGAUGAUACGCGAGGAACCUUACCUGGGCUUUAAAUGUAGAGUGCAUUUUGCUGAAAAGCAGAUUUUCUUCGGAACUCUCUGCAAGGUGCUGCAUGGUUGUCGUCAGCUCGUGCCGUGAGGUGUCGGGUUAAGUCCCAUAACGAGCGCAACCCUUAUCGUUAGUUGCCAGCGGGUAAUGCCGGGAACUCUAACGAAACUGCCGGUGUAAACCGAGAGAAGGUGGGGAUGACGUCAAAUCAGCACGGCCCUUAUGUCCAGGGCUACACACGUGUUACAAUGGCCGGUACAGAGGCAGCUACCAGAUGACUGGAUGCGAAUCUCGAAAGCCGGUCUCAGUUCGGAUCGGAGUCUGCAACUCGACUCCGUGAAGCUGGAUUCGCUAGUAAUCGCGCAUCAGCCAUGGCGCGGUGAAUACGUUCCCGGGCCUUGUACACACCGCCCGUCAAGCCAUGGAAGUUGGGGGUACCUGAAGUCCGUAACCGCAAGGAGCGGCCUAGGGUAAAACCAGUGACUGGGGCU
rnacentral:rRNA from 1 species